AUGUUUGAUGAAGAUGAUAUGUUUUGUCCCCCAAGUUUUGAUAAGCAAAUUUAUUAUGAUGAUAGCAUGCCUCCUAUUUAUGAUGAUUAUAUUGAUGAAAGUGGGUUUGGAAGAGUGUCAACUUUAGGAACUAAUGAUCCCACUAUUUUGGAGGAUGUUGAAUCUUAUUGUGAUAAUUAUGAAAGUGGAUUGGGAGAGGUCAUGACUUUAUUUAGUGAUGAAUCCACUAUUUCGGAAGAGGUUCCAAUUGAUUAUGAGAACAAAGUUGCUAUCUAUGAUGACUAUUGUGAUGACUUGUAUGCUAUUAAGAAUAAUGAUAACCAUGAAACUUGUCAUCAUGAUUUUAGUUUUCAAUUGGAUUAUGCCUCACAUGAUAAUUAUUUUGUUGAGUUUGCUCCCACUACUAUUCCGAAUGAGAAGAAAUUUGCUUAUGUGGAGAGUAGUAAAUUUUCUAUGCUUGUAGAUCAUGAAAAGAAUGCUUUAUAUGAUGGUUAUAUUGUUGAAUUCAUUCAUGAUGCUACUGAAAAUUAUUAUGAGGGAGGAAUAUAUGCUUGUAGGAAUUGCAAUAAUACCAAGUUUUCUCUCUAUGUGCUUAAAGUUUUGAAGUUAUGCUUGUUUUGCCUUCCUAUGCUAGUUGAUUAUUGUUCCCAUAAGUUGUUUGCUCACAAAAUCCCUAUGCAUAGGAAGUGGGUUAGACUUAAAUGUUCUAGUCAUAUCCUUCAUGAUGCUCUCUUUAUGUUUCAAUUCUUAUCUUUUAUGUUAGCAUCAUUGAAAUCAUCAUUCCUAGCUAGGGGCGUUAAACGUUAG
rnacentral:rRNA from 1 species